UACGAAGGGGGCUAGUGUUGCUCGGAAUGACUGGGCGUAAAGGGCGCGUAGGCGGCUCACAGAGUCGGACGUGAAAUUCCUGGGCUUAACCUGGGGGCUGCGUUCGAUACCUGUGGACUAGAGUGGGGAAGAGGGUCGUGGAAUUCCCGGUGUAGAGGUGAAAUUCGUAGAUAUCGGGAGGAACACCAGUGGCGAAGGCGCUGACCUGGACGAUGAUUGACGCUGAGGCGCGAAAGCGUGGGGAGCAAACAGG
rnacentral:rRNA from 1 species